rnacentral:rRNA from 1 species
UACGGAGGGAGCUAGCGUUGUUCGGAAUUACUGGGCGUAAAGCGCACGUAGGCGGCUUUGUAAGUUAGAGGUGAAAGCCCGGGGCUCAACUCCGGAACUGCCCUUAAGACUGCAUCGCUUGAAUCCAGGAGAGGUGAGUGGAAUUCCGAGUGUAGAGGUGAAAUUCGUAGAUAUUCGGAAGAACACCAGUGGCGAAGGCGGCUCACUGGACUGGUAUUGACGCUGAGGUGCGAAAGCGUGGGGAGCAAACAGG